rnacentral:misc_RNA from 1 species
GCACAUUAAAGUUGAUAGUUGUGAUACACUCAUUUAAAUUGAAAAAUAGUGAAUAAGCCACUAAUACAAAGUUAGACGAAUUUUAAUUUAAUAAUAAUUAAGUUAAAACUUAAUAAUUUUUAUAAUAUAAAUUGAAGUUUAAAAAUUAUUGAUGCAACUAACUAAGCUAACGAUUGGUGAAAUUAACCCCUCAUUUACUUGUAUUUAGAUUAAUUUACCGCUUAUGAGUUUUAACAUAAGAUAAAGAAACAAAAGAAAGGGGGUGAUUUCACUAA